rnacentral:rRNA from 1 species
AGUGAACGCUGGCGGUAGGCCUAACACAUGCAAGUCGAACGGCAGCACAGUAAGAGCUUGCUCUUACGGGUGGCGAGUGGCGGACGGGUGAGGAAUACAUCGGAAUCUACUUUUUCGUGGGGGAUAACGUAGGGAAACUUACGCUAAUACCGCAUACGACCUACGGGUGAAAGCAGGGGAUCUUCGGACCUUGCGCGAUUGAAUGAGCCGAUGUCGGAUUAACUAGUUGGCGGGGUAAAGGCCCACCAAGGCGACGAUCCGUAGCUGGUCUGAGAGGAUGAUCAGCCACAUUGGAACUGAGACACGGUCCAGACUCCUACGGGAGGCAGCAGUGGGGAAUAUUGGGCAAUGGGCGCAAGCCUGAUCCAGCCAUACCGCGUGGGUGAAGAAGGCCUUCGGGUUGUAAAGCCCUUUUGUUGGGAAAGAAAAGCAGCAGGUUAAUACCCCGCUGUUCUGACGGUACCCAAAGAAUAAGCACCGGCUAACUUCGUG